GGAGGAGGAGGAGGAGGAAGAUAAAAAAAACUCCAUAUCCUUUAUUAUAACCAGUCAGAUUAAGAAAAAGUGAAGUCCAACCAUAUACAAAACAAAGAUUCUCAUGGAAGGGCUGGGAGAAGCUACUUACCAAGACUUAGAGGAGAAAGAAGGGACUGAAUGGAUUGGAUUCUCAUGCAAGGGCUGGGAGAAGCUACAUACCAAGGCCUGAAGAAGAGGAGGUGGCUGACUGCAUUGGGGGAGUGUUAAACUCCUUAUAGUUUUCUUUUGCUCUCACUUGACUUACCUCUAAUGAUGGUUUAAGAGUCAGUGCUUAUAAAGGGUGCCUCAGAAAGGGUGCCUCAGCAAGGGUGCCUCAGAAAAGGUACCUCAGAAAAUGUGCCUCAGAAAGUGUGCCUCAUAAAAGGUACCUCAGAAAGUGUGCC